rnacentral:rRNA from 1 species
UACAGAGGUCUCAAGCGUUGUUCGGAUUCAUUGGGCGUAAAGGGUGCGUAGGCGGCGCGGUAAGUCGGAAGUGAAAUCUCGGAGCUUAACUUCGAAACUGCAUUCGAUACUGCCGUGCUUGAGGACUGGAGAGGAGACUGGAAUUUACGGUGUAGCGGUGAAAUGCGUAGAUAUCGUAAGGAAGACCAGUGGCGAAGGCGGGUCUCUGGACAGUUCCUGACGCUGAGGCACGAAGGCCAGGGGAGCAAACGGG